GUGAAUCAUCAAAUCUUUGAACGCAAAUUGCACUCUCUUCGGAUAGUAUGGCUGUUUGAGGGUCAGUGUCAAUAAAAAUCGGUGUGUUGCUUCUUUGUGACGCUCCGGAGUUUCGGUCAUCUUAAUAUCCUUUCGGUUUUAAGAGGCUUAAACUUGACUUUUUUUGUGCAUUCUAGAUGU
rnacentral:misc_RNA from 1 species